GAUGAACGCUGGCGGCGUGCCUAAUACAUGCAAGUCGAGCGAACAGACGAGGAGCUUGCUCCUCUGACGUUAGCGGCGGACGGGUGAGUAACACGUGGAUAACCUACCUAUAAGACUGGGAUAACUUCGGGAAACCGGAGCUAAUACCGGAUAAUAUAUUGAACCGCAUGGUUCAAUAGUGAAAGACGGUUUUGCUGUCACUUAUAGAUGGAUCCGCGCCGCAUUAGCUAGUUGGUAAGGUAACGGCUUACCAAGGCAACGAUGCGUAGCCGACCUGAGAGGGUGAUCGGCCUCACUGGAACUGAGACACGGUCCAGACUCCUACGGGAGGCAGCAGUAGGGAAUCUUCCGCAAAGGGCGAAAGCCUGACGGAGCAACGCCGCGUGAGUGAUGAAGGUCUUCGGAUCGUAAAACUCUGUUAUUAGGGAAGAACAAAUGUGUAAGUAACUAUGCACGUCUUGACGGUACCUAAUCAGAAAGCCACGGCUAACUACGUG
rnacentral:rRNA from 1 species